rnacentral:misc_RNA from 1 species
ACAAACUUGGUCAUUUAGAGGAAGUAAAAGUCGUAACAAGGUCUCCGUUGGUGAACCAGCGGAGGGAUCAUUACUGAGUUUUCUAAACUCCCAAACCCUUGAGAACAUACCUUGGUUGCCUCGGCGAAAGCGUCGCCCUGGGAUGGCCUACCCUGUAGCGUCUUACCCUGGGCGGCGCCCCCGCCGGUGGUCUUCUAAACUCUGUUUUAUUGUGUCACUUCUGAGGAUUAUUAUAAAAUCAGUUAAAACUUUCAACAACGGAUCUCUUGGUUCUGGCAUCGAUGAAGAACGCAGC